GCGAUGAACCAGGCUGCCGCGCCGCGACUUGAGUCGCGGUGAGGAAAGUCCGGGCUCCGCAGGGCAUGAUGCCGGGUAAUACCCGGGCGGGUGGGGUGUUGCAAACGCCCCCUUGACAGACAGCGCAACAGAAAGUAAACCGCCUGAGGGGGGCAAAGGGAAGAUACCCAUCGACUUUUUGUCCCUUCUUUGGUAAGGGUGAAAGGGUAGAGUAAGAGCCUACCGCGGAACCGGUAACGGUUCCGGCACGGCAAGCCUCAUCAGGAGCAAAGUCAAACAGCGGCAGAACGGCCCGUUUAUGUCGCGGGUAGACUGCGUGGAUACUAUCCGCAAGGAUAGUACCAGAUAGAUGGCAGCUAUGGCGUAAACGCCUAAACAGAACCCGGCUUAUGGUUCAUCGCUUUU
rnacentral:RNase_P_RNA from 1 species